rnacentral:rRNA from 1 species
UACGGAGGAUGCGAGCGUUAUCCGGAUUUAUUGGGUUUAAAGGGUGCGUAGGCGGGCUGUUAAGUCAGCGGUCAAAUGUCGGGGCUCAACCCCGGCCUGCAGUUGAAACUGGCAGUCUUGAGUACAGUAGAGGUGGGCGGAAUUCGUGGUGUAGCGGUGAAAUGCUUAGAUAUCACGAAGAACUCCGAUUGCGAAGGCAGCUCACUGGACUGCAACUGACACUGAGGCACGAAAGCGUGGGGAGCAAAUAGG